UUAUUCUUGUUUCACAGAAUGGAUCCAUUACAGGAAUAUCCCCAUAAUUCAUUUGACCUGCAAUGUCUGUUAAAUUCAUUUCCUGGAGAUUUGGAGUUUAAGCAGAUCUUCAGUGACAUUGGGGAUCAGAUCGAGCAAAAUGCUACAAGUAUAGAACAUUG